rnacentral:rRNA from 1 species
UACGAAGGGGGCGAGCGUUGUUCGGAAUUACUGGGCGUAAAGGGCGCGCAGGCGGUCCUUCAAGUCAGAUGUGAAAGCCCCGGGCUCAACCUGGGAACAGCAUUUGAGACUGGAGGACUUGAGGACGGGAGAGGAGAGUGGAAUUCCCAGUGUAGAGGUGAAAUUCGUAGAUAUUCGCAAGAACACCAGUGGCGAAGGCGGCUCACUGGUCCGGUACUGACGCUGAGGUGCGAAAGCGUGGGGAGCAAACAGG